GUGAUAAUGCGCUGUCCACAUUUAUUAAUCUUACUUAAGAAAAGCAUUCAAGGAUUCAGUAAAGGAGAUGGAAACUUAAUAGAUUUUUGCGCGAAAUAGUAGUACUGAAAAGGAAAAUUUAAAUUGUAAUAAAGAAAGGAUAAAGCUCUGUACCUUUUGCAUCAUGGUUUAGCUAGAGUGAUUUUAAUAUAAAAAACCUAGAAACCUUACGAGCUAUUUUCAAUUGUCUGUUAGGAACCAAGAGGUGACUGUGGAAUAAGUCUCUUUAAAACUGAAAAUAGAUAUUAGAUUUUUUUCGCGUGAGGGGAUAGCUAGUUCUUCUUUAAAGGCAUAUAAGUGCUAUAAACUAGCUUUUAUUUGAGUGAUUAUUCCACGCUUAUAACUUUAGUUUAUUUAGGCUUUUGAGGAUAAGCUCGAAAGCGAAAGUCAAAAAUGCAUAAUGUUUUUAUAUAAAUUUAGGCCUGAAAAUAGCUAUAAUUUACUGAUUUUGUUAUAAUUUCAUUAAAAACAUAGAAACAUAAUAAAUUUACAUACCAUAGAAAGAAGAAACCCCGUAAACUUACUUAUGGGUUAAUCGUAUGCUAAAAUGAGUAUUACUGAAUCUAUAUUAUCUAAUAAAUAUGUACAAAGAACUUAAUGUUCUGUGUUGAAUCAGAACUUCAAAAUUGCAAAAAGGAACUCGGCAAAUUAAAUAUUCCGCCUGUUUAUCAAAAACAUCGCUCCCUGUAUAAAGUAAAUAGGGAGUCGGACCUGCCCAGUGAAUUUUCAACGGCCGCGGUACUCUGACCGUGCAAAGGUAGCAUAAUAAUUUGCCUUAUAAUUGAAGGCUGGUAUGAAUGGUUUGACGAGAAUAAAGCUGUCUCUUUGCAACUUUUUAGAAAUUUAUUUUCGGAUGAAAAAGUCCGUAUACCAUUAAAAGACAAGAAGACCCUAUCGAGCUUUAAAAGAAUUCAGUAGACCAUGUAACUAAUUAAAUCUAGAAAGUCAUCUCCUGAAAAUUUUAGUUGGGGCGACUAAGGAACAAAUAAAGCUUCUUUAAAACACGUCUUUUGCUCAUUAGCUUUGAUCCAGAAAUUCUGAUUAAUAAAAUUAGUUACCGUAGGGAUAACAGCAUUAUCUUUUUUGAGAGCUCUUAUCGAAAAAAAGGUUUGUGACCUCGAUGUUGGACCAGAAUAUCCUAAAGAUGCAGCAGUCUUUAAGGGUUGGUCUGUUCGACCAUUAAUAUUCUACGUGAUCUGAGUUCAGACCGGCGCGAGCCAGGUCAGUUUCUAUCUUUAAUUUUACCUGACAAACUUAGUACGAAAGGAUCAGUUUGUAAUAACAAUUUAUUAUAAAAAGAAAGAAUAU
rnacentral:rRNA from 1 species